rnacentral:rRNA from 1 species
AUUGAACGCUGGCGGCAUGCUUUACACAUGCAAGUCGAACGGUAACAGGGAGCUUGCUCCGCUGACGAGUGGCGAACGGGUGAGUAAUGCGUCGGAACGUGCCCAGUCGUGGGGGAUAACGCAGCGAAAGCUGCGCUAAUACCGCAUACGAUCUAUGGAUGAAAGCGGGGGACCGUAAGGCCUCGCGCGAUUGGAGCGGCCGAUGUCAGAUUAGGGAGUUGGUGGGGUAAAGGCUCACCAAGCCAACGAUCUGUAGCUGGUCUGAGAGGACGACCAGCCACACUGGGACUGAGACACGGCCCAGACUCCUACGGGAGGCAGCAGUGGGGAAUUUUGGACAAUGGGCGCAAGCCUGAUCCAGCAAUGCCGCGUGCAGGAAGAAGGCCUUCGGGUUGUAAACUGCUUUUGUACGGAACGAAACGGUCCUGGUUAAUACCUGGGGCUAAUGACGGUACCGUAAGAAUAAGCACCGGCUAACUACGUGCCAGCCGCCGCCGUAAUAC